rnacentral:lncRNA from 1 species
GCUUUCCUGUUUUGGAGCAAAAGGACAAACAGUUUGUGAAGAUGAUAGCUUCUAUGAGAAUUUCAAUAUGGAUGAAGUUGACUUGAGUAUUGAGAAUUAUGAUGAACUUUUUGGAGCAGCUCUUGAUAAUCCUGAAAAGCUUUUCGAAAAUGAUGAUAUUGAUGGUCUUUUCGGGAUGGAGAUAUCUGGUGCCGAUUCCAACUGCCAGGAUGCACAUCUCAUGGAGGUUAUAUCUAUCAUCAUCAUAAGCUUUUUCUUUUCUGUAGUAAUCUGGUUUUCUGUAGCCUUCUUUUGUUUUAUUCCAGUUAUAUGGGAAAAUUUUCCUCACUGGUGUUGCAUGCAACCCCAAUUUUGAUUUUCUAAUUGUUACUUUUAUCUAUUAUGACUCUGUCCUGGAUGUCUCUUUGCUCUUAAUAAUGACUACAUUUGAGCUGAACAUGCUUUUCUGGCAUACUCUGAUGUUUCUGCUUUGUCUUCUAUUUUUAACUUAUUCUGUGAUCCUUGCAUUACAUGUUCAGUCCUCAAUAGCUUGUGCAGAAGAAGAUUAAAACUGAAAUGCUGAAAUAGCAUAACUUUUCCGUGUUAAGAAACUUUUUCAAGUAACAAGAUGACCAGGUUAGGUAAGAUGAUAAGACCUAGUAGUUAAAAGUAUCCUAGAGACUCCUGGCCUUAGUUCGAAUCUUUCUUCCAGCACAUGUCAUCUAUUAAAGAGGAAAUGCGUAUUAUUUUAUGUAUCUGAAAUUAGACGAAUUGAUUGAAUUGCAGAUUUUUUCUGGCAUCUUAAUAUUAUAAUUACCUAUUAUCUAAACAAAAGCUGUUCAAGGUUAUUGGAGAGCUAACAAAAGGGAGGUUCUCUGGUGAGUCUACACUGCUUCCCAAAAAAAAAAAAAAACAAAAACAAAGAAAAGGAGGCAAAGUCUUAAGGUCAGGAAACGGCUUUGCCUAUAAGUUCGCAUGAAACUGGAAGUUACAGGUUUUUAUUGUGGUCAAUUGGUUUGACAUAUUUGAGUGCAAUUAAACACCUGUUUUUUCAGAUGCUAACAAACUGACACUGUUAAUCAAUUGUACAAAAAACAUGGAUUUACAAGUGUAUCUCAUAGCAUGCAUUAUAAUCACUACCAUUGCUUUCUAAGGUUCUGAUAUUGACGAUAAGGAACUUUUCUCUUUUAAUUUUUCCUGCAAUUUUAUUCUUUUAGAGUGUGUUUGUAUGAGGAAUUAACUCCUGGAUAAUAUUGGGAAUGUUUCGGGGGAUAUGUUCUGUGAUGUGAGAAUAUGGAGUUAUAGCUACUACUAUUUUAUCAUGCCACCAGUAAAGGUGCUGUCAAUGAGGUUGGCCAGUUUUACCAAUCAAUCUAUACAGGCUACCCACUUAUUUUAACAAGUAUUACAGUACUUUUUCUGUCAUAGCCCCCCUUUCAUCCAAUAAGUUUAAAUUGCUUUAUCAUUCUUUUUUGCAUAUUCAAUAUGUCCUUGAGUUUUUGCUUAUCUGUCAAAGAAUUUGUGUGCCUUUUCUUUUUCUUCUUGUUCAGUUUGUUGUUGCUCAAUAUAUUUGAUGUGCAUCCAUAGCUUUUCCAUUUUGCUCUUUCUUUUAUUAUUUUCAUUAUAUAAAUAUUGUUGUUAUUAUUUUUAUUGUUAAUUUGUUAGUAUGACUGCACUGAUUUGUUUGGUUAUAUGUUUCUUGCUCUGAUAUUGGUAUUGCUACAGUGCUUGUACUGAAAGUAUGUACAGUUCAAACGUGUAUGCAUUUUGUGUUAUUAGUCAGUAGCGAAGAUGUUUCCAUAUGGACAAACUCUGUCUCUAGGUCUUUUCUAGUGACAUGGGAAACAUCUUCUGUCAUCCGGAGAGAGAGAGAGAGAGAGAGAAUUUGUGUAGAACUGCAUUGGAAUGGUGCAAAUUGAGUGUCAUCUAUUAUGACAGUCUUGUUUAAGCUUCUUCCCAACUUCCUUUGGCAUCUUCUAGGCUCAUUUUGGUAAACUGUUCAAUCUUUUCUCAUCUUGCUUCUGUUUAAUGUGCUUGGCUUUGUACGAUGUUUGUCAGGGGUCAUCAAUGGGGCGUAUUAAUGGCAUACAGCCAGCAUGCAGCACUGCAGCUUCUGCAGAUUCCAUGAUGAGCUGUAAGACAGAACCUAAUAUAUGUUUUGCUCGGCAAGCUCACUCGAGCCUCUCAUUUUCUGGUCUAACUGGAGAGAGUAGUGCUGGUGAUUAUCAGGACUGUGGGGCCUCUUCAUUGCUUCUUAUGGGUGAGCCACCGUGGUGUCCUCCAUGCCCUGAGAGUUCAAAUCUUGCAAGUAGCCGGAGCAAUGCUGUAAUGCGUUAUAAAGAAAAGAAAAAGACACGCAAGUAAGACUUACUUUCUGUCUCCCAUUCAAUUUGUUUUUGCUUGAGUUAGCUGUAGACGCUACUAAGCUUUUUAUUAGCUGCCUUAUAGACAUCCACUUAAGUAGUUGAUUUUCAGGAUCAUCUAACAUUUAGUUAAGAAUGUUCUCCUGUCCUGAUUCAUUAGAAAUUUGUUCACUUGGCUGGUAUUACGACGCUAAUGCUCCAUACUUUGCUUUAAUGCCAUUCCUUUGAUCUCGUAAGAGUUCCAUUCUAGUAUUAACAUUUUCUAUUUGUUGCUCUGGUCUGUGACUCUCUUGAUUCAGGAUCAUUUAGCAUUUAGUCAAGAAUGUUCUCCCAUCCAUCCGGAUUUAUUAGAAAUAUGUUCACUUGGGUGGUAUCACAGACACUAAUGCUCCAUAUUUUGCUUUUAUACUGGUCCUAUCAGCUCAUAGGAGUUCAAUUCUUGUAUUAGCGUUUGCUAUUUGUUGCUCUGGUAUUUGACUCUCCUGAUUUUAAAACUAUUAUAGAUUUGAGAAGAAAGUAAGGUAUGCUUCUCGCAAGGCAAGAGCUGAUGUUAGAAGGCGCGUGAAGGGACGCUUUGUCAAAGCUGGUGAUGCUUAUGAUUAUGACCCGAUGACUCCAACUAGAAGCUACUGAGAGUAAAGUUUUUAAUCAUAAGCACAGGGAAAGACAUGAUCAAUGUUAAAUUGGAAAAAGAAAAUUGGUUUAAAAUUCAUGGAAAUGGAUCAUUCCACACGGUUUCCCCCAUGCAAUGACAAGCUUCAUGAUUUUAUCUCAGGGAAGGGAGUUCUCUUUGAUUGAUGAAGUUGGAUGGAGGAAACUUGCCCCUUUGCUUCACCACUGAACUUCUAUAUGCUUUUUCAUGAUCCAAAAGAUGGAUCAUGAUCUGUGUACAGUAUGCAAAGAUUGACGUUGUUUCUCCGGAAUCAGGUGUCAGCUUCUCUUAGAUAUAGUUUUACGUGGUUUGCAUUUAUUGGAGAGGGACCAUGCGUCUCGGGUAUCAUCACUCUUUGACAUCUGUUUCAUUGGUUUCUUUGUACUCAUCUUACCU